GAAAUACUAGAAAGCUUCAAAAGAGUCUCCCGGGAAGUUUAUUGAUUUCUAGCCGAAUAGGGCUGAUUAUUUGGUCCCAGAAGGCAGGUAGAAAUCGGCGUAGACGAAGAUCCGGUUAGAAAAUCGGCGAAAGGAUGAAGAACGAAGCGAUGAUAUCGAGAUAGGCGCGGUAUAGAGAGAGGCAGCACGGAAGAGUUUGGGGUAAAAAUUUCUAGGACGAGGCGAACGGGUGCAAUGCACCGGUGUACGCGAUAUACGCUCGACGAUCAAUAGCCACCCCACCUUACUGGGCCGGCGGCGCAUGAAUGAACCUCGCCUUUUACACACUACUCGGUAGUAGUAGCUCUCUCUACUCGCGCGCGCCGCCAGCGAGCUGCAACGCCGCCGCCUUCGGUCGUGUACAGCGGUUUUCAAUGCCCCUCUGAUCGCUUUAGCUGAAUUUAGAUGAAAUUUAAUCAACUAGUUACAGAUUUUAAAAUUGUGUAUUACGUUUUGGAAUAAUGAAUGAAGAUAAAAGUAGAAGAUAUACGUGGAUGGAAUAGAAUAAAGAAUUUCGUAUUUAAUUUGGAUGAAGUUUAGUCAAUAUUAAAAUUCAUUAAGAAACAAGAAUAUAUCAUUAGCAUUAUCAUUUUAAUUUUUAAAAUUUUUAAAAUUUAUAUAAAUUUGAUUAUUUUGUAUUCAAUAUAGAAUAGUUUCAAGCGCACAAAGAAUGGAAAGAAUGAAAAUUGAUCCCGAUACAGAAUUGGAUGGAGUCGACAUUCAUAGGAAAUUCUUAAUACAUACUAUGAACAAAAUGUGACCCAAUUUUUCAGAUUCCCAAUAAUCGGUGCCACAUAGCCGACCUAUCUUCUUUUUUAUUGGAUUCAUCACUUGGUUUUUCUUCAACACUUGAUUUUUUUUUUAUUCUUCCAUUUAUUUCUUCAAUAUUUCGUUCUACGGUAUAUAGAUUGAGAACCAUCUGUUUAAAGUGUACUUGCAAGAUACGAUAUAUAGUGCGUUAACUUAAUAUCUACCUAUCACAACUUUGAUUAUACGAUUAAUGUGCAAGUUAAAUUCAUCACAUUCGAUUAUAAAUUCAAGAUAUAUUAUCUGGAAGUUGGAUGAAGGAACUUCGUAUUUGCACAGUGACCAAGUCAAACAGUAAACAUCUGGUACAUAUUAUGCUUCUCUGGAAACUGUUCGUUGUAAGUUCUCCAGCAAAUAGAACUAUAUUUUAUGAAAAACACUGAUACACUCACGAAGAAACAUUAGAAAAUCGCAAACGAGAAGAAGAAUCUUUCAUUAUUCAUCACUGUGUCUUAUAAAAUCAAAAGAUCUUUGAGAAACAAGGGAUCCAUAUCAAACAUCUACAUCCAGAAUGUUUUUUAUAAUUAAAAUCUUCAAAUUUAUAAAACAUUCAAUAGUCCAAACAAAUGUAUCAUCUUUAUAUUAGUUAAAAAUCGCGAUUUUGCCAGAUAUCAUGACUUAUCUCACUUCUAUAUGUCAUGUUUAAUUAACAAGGGACAUAAGAUUGGUAUUUGUGACCUGCUGUCGUAAUGUCUUCCAGAUGAGAUACGUGGGUAAAUACUUUCCUUUUCGUAGGUGU